rnacentral:rRNA from 1 species
GCGACCCCAGGAUGGGCGAGGCCACCCGCCGAGUUUAAGCAUAUCAAUAAGCGGAGGAGUAA